CGCGUAGGCGGUCUUUUAAGUCUCGUGUGAAAUCCCUCGGCUCAACUGAGGAACUGCACGGGAUACUGGAUGACUUGAGUUCGGGAGAGGGAAGCGGAAUUCCGGGUGUAGCGGUGAAAUGCGUAGAUAUCCGGAGGAACACCGGUGGCGAAGGCGGCUUCCUGGACCGACACUGACGCUGAGGCGCGAAAGCUAGGGGAGCAAACG
rnacentral:rRNA from 1 species